rnacentral:rRNA from 1 species
GAUGAACGCUAGCUACAGGCUUAACACAUGCAAGUCGAGGGGCAGCAUUUUAGUUUGCUUGCAAACUGAAGAUGGCGACCGGCGCACGGGUGAGUAACACGUAUCCAACCUGCCGAUAACUCCGGAAUAGCCUUUCGAAAGAAAGAUUAAUACCGGAUAGCAUACGAAUAUCGCAUGAUAUUUUUAUUAAAGAAUUUCGGUUAUCGAUGGGGAUGCGUUCCAUUAGUUUGUUGGCGGGGUAACGGCCCACCAAGACUACGAUGGAUAGGGGUUCUGAGAGGAAGGUCCCCCACAUUGGAACUGAGACACGGUCCAAACUCCUACGGGAGGCAGCAGUGAGGAAUAUUGGUCAAUGGGCGAGAGCCUGAACCAGCCAAGUAGCGUGAAGGAUGAAGGCUCUAUGGGUCGUAAACUUCUUUUAUAUGGGAAUAAAGUUUUCCACGUGUGGAAUUUUGUAUGUACCAUAUGAAUAAGGAUCGGCUAACUCCGUGCCAGCAGCCGCGGUAAUACGGAGGAUCCGAGCGUUAUCCGGAUUUAUUGGGUUUAAAGGGAGCGUAGGUGGAUUGUUAAGUCAGUUGUGAAAGUUUGCGGCUCAACCGUAAAAUUGCAGUUGAAACUGGCAGUCUUGAGUACAGUAGAGGUGGGCGGAAUUCGUGGUGUAGCGGUGAAAUGCUUAGAUAUCACGAAGAACUCCGAUUGCGAAGGCAGCUCACUAGACUGUCACUGACACUGAUGCUCGAAAGUGUGGGUAUCAAACAGGAUUAGAUACCCUGGUAGUCCACACAGUAAACGAUGAAUACUCGCUGUUUGCGAUAUACAGUAAGCGGCCAAGCGAAAGCAUUAAGUAUUCCACCUGGGGAGUACGCCGGCAACGGUGAAACUCAAAGGAAUUGACGGGGGCCCGCACAAGCGGAGGAACAUGUGGUUUAAUUCGAUGAUACGCGAGGAACCUUACCCGGGCUUAAAUUGCAACAAGAAUAUAUUGGAAACAGUAUAGCCGUAAGGCUGUUGUGAAGGUGCUGCAUGGUUGUCGUCAGCUCGUGCCGUGAGGUGUCGGCUUAAGUGCCAUAACGAGCGCAACCCUUAUCUUUAGUUACUAACAGGUUAUGCUGAGGACUCUAGAGAGACUGCCGUCGUAAGAUGUGAGGAAGGUGGGGAUGACGUCAAAUCAGCACGGCCCUUACGUCCGGGGCUACACACGUGUUACAAUGGGGGGUACAGAAGGCGGCUACCUGGUGACAGGAUGCUAAUCCCAAAAACCUCUCUCAGUUCGGAUCGAAGUCUGCAACCCGACUUCGUGAAGCUGGAUUCGCUAGUAAUCGCGCAUCAGCCAUGGCGCGGUGAAUAAGUUCCCGGGCCUUGCACA